CUGAAGGAGGUUCUAGGUAUCCUGGUGUCAUACAGAGUCAUGGUUAAGCUCAUCAUUGGCGGAAUAUUGGGAUCUAGUGAGGUGGGAGUAGAGCUGCCACUCACACUGAUGCACCCAAAACCUGACCUAG